rnacentral:rRNA from 1 species
CCUACGGGAGGCAGCAGUGGGGAAUUUUGGACAAUGGGCGCAAGCCUGAUCCAGCCAUGCCGCGUGAGUGAAGAAGGCCUUCGGGUUGUAAAGCUCUUUUGUCAGGGAAGAAACGGUUCAGGUUAAUAUCCUGGUGUC